CCUUAUAUUUUGGCUUUCCAAUUGAUGUUGGCUCUGACCUCUUGACAUUCAAUUGACAGUAAGCAGAGAUGCUGAGACAGUUCAGAAGGAACAUCACCAGGAGCCACAGCAACAGCCAAGGAAGCUUAUAUGGAAGUAUUUUUGAUUUUCAUUUUCUUUCCCCUACCCCCUGCUGACUCUAACAUAACUAACCCUCACCUUCCCUUUCCCCCUCAUUUCAUCUUCCUGAAUUAAUUGCCAUUGUUUUCUGCUUUUUCAACUAAUUGUGUGGUACUGAUUUUUACCACUUGAAUUUUUGUGAUUUGUUGCAUUGUUUUGAAGUUUUACUAAUCUUCUGCCAGUUUUAUACUUUCAGGAACUCAGAAGAGGGACAACGAUGGAGGAGCAAGGUCGUCCAACAGAAAAAGACAAGACGACGAGUCCAUUUCUCAGCUAUAUACAGCAGUCAGCAUGGCCCAAAGUGCAGAAGAAAGUUGAGAUUGACCAGGAUGCUGAAGUGCGGAGAAGUACCUCUCCUAUUUAACAGCAUUCGAGAAAAGAAAGUACGUAAGCAGAGAUGCUGAGACAGUUCAGAAGGAACAUCACCAGGAGCCACAGCAACAGCCAAGGAAGCUUAUAUGGAAGUAUUUUUGAUUUUCAUUUUCUUUCCCCUACCCCCUGCUGACUCUAACAUAACUAACCCUCACCUUCCCUUUCCCCCUCAUUUCAUCUUCCUGAAUUAAUUGCCAUUGUUUUCUGCUUUUUCAACUAAUUGUGUGGUACUGAUUUUUACCACUUGAAUUUUUGUGAUUUGUUGCAUUGUUUUGAAGUUUUACUAAUCUUCUGCCAGUUUUAUACUUUCAGGAACUCAGAAGAGGGACAACGAUGGAGGAGCAAGGUCGUCCAACAGAAAAAGACAAGACGACGAGUCCAUUUCUCAGCUAUAUACAGCAGUCAGCAUGGCCCAAAGUGCAGAAGAAAGUUGAGAUUGACCAGGAUGCUGAAGUGCGGAGAAGUACCUCUCCUAUUUAACAGCAUUCGAGAAAAGAAAGUACGUAAGCAGAGAUGCUGAGACAGUUCAGAAG